rnacentral:rRNA from 1 species
GGCUCAGGAUGAACGCUAGCGGGAGGCCUAAUACAUGCAAGUCGAACGGUAACAGGGUAGCAAUACCGCUGACGAGUGGCGCACGGGUGCGUAACACGUACACAAUCUACCUUAUACUGGAGCAUAACCUCGGGAAACUGAGGCUAAUUCUCCAUAACAUAUUAAAAAAGGCAUCUUUUUGAUAUUAAAACUCCGGUGGUAUAAGAUGAGUGUGCGUCUGAUUAGCUAGUUGGUGAGGUAACGGCUCACCAUGGCUGCGAUCGGUAGCUGGUCUGAGAGGAUGGUCAGCAACACUGGGACUGAGAUACGGCCCAGACUCCUACGGGAGGCAGCAGUCUAGAAGCUUCCGCAAUGGGCGAAAGCCUGACGGAGCGACGCCGCGUGCGCGAAGAAGGCCUUCGGGUUGUAAAGCGCUGUCAUCGGGGAAGAGAACCCGCGAGGAGACCCUCGCGGGCGCGACGGUACCCGAGAAGGAAGCCCCGGCUAACUCCGUG